rnacentral:rRNA from 1 species
GACGUAGGGGGCGAGCGUUGUCCGGAUUCAUUGGGCGUAAAGCGCGCGUAGGCGGCCCGGUAAGUCGGAUGUGAAAUCUCACGGCUCAACCGUGGAACUGCAUUCGAAACUGUCGGGCUAGAGGCAGGUAGGGGAGAUCGGAAUUCCCGGUGUAGCGGUGAAAUGCGCAGAUAUCGGGAGGAACACCGGUGGCGAAGGCGGUUCUCUGGGCCUUACCUGACGCUGAGGAGCGAAAGCGUGGGGAGCGAACAGG